rnacentral:rRNA from 1 species
GAUGAACGCUGGCGGCGUGCCUAAUACAUGCAAGUCGAGCGAACAGACGAGGAGCUUGCUCCUCUGACGUUAGCGGCGGACGGGUGAGUAACACGUGGAUAACCUACCUAUAAGACUGGGAUAACUUCGGGAAACCGGAGCUAAUACCGGAUAAUAUAUUGAACCGCAUGGUUCAAUAGUGAAAGACGGUUUUGCUGUCACUUAUAGAUGGAUCCGCGCCGCAUUAGCUAGUUGGUAAGGUAACGGCUUACCAAGGCGACGAUGCGUAGCCGACCUGAGAGGGUGAGCGGCAAAACGGGAACUGAGACACGGACCAGACGCCUACGGGAGGGAGCAGUAGGGAAUCUUACGCAAUGGGCGAAAGCCUGACGGAGCAAUGCGGCGUGAGUGAUGAAGGUAUUCGGAUUGUAAAACUCUGUUAUGAGGGAAGAACAAAUGUGGAAGUAAAUAUGCACGUCUGGACGGUAACUAAUCAGAAAGCCACGGCUAACUACGUG